CCCGCCUCUCGCUGCCCGCGCCGGGCCUAGCCGCCCGGAGGCCCCGCGGCCGGCGGUCGCGGCAGGGGAGACGUGGCGGCGGCGGCUCGGGGCGGCUAGCUUGCCCGCGCUAGCCAGCAGGCCGCGAUCGGGAGCCCGAGCCCGGCCUCAGCCUGUCCGCCGCCGCGCAGCGCGUAGGGAGGAAGAGGAAAUGCCUGGCGGUGGGUCCCAGCCACUCGCCCUCCCGGCCUGAAGGCUUCCCGAAUGCCCGGCCGCCCCCAGUCCUGUCUGGAACCCGUCUGGGCCCCGGCUGAGCCUCAAUUCCUCCUUUGCUGGAGACCCAUGACAAGUGUGGGCCUGGUGCCCCAGGAGGAAGCCUGUACCCUCACAGCAGCAGCAGGAGGGAAACCUGAAGAGGUGCAGUUCACAUCCCUGCAAGCCAUCUUAGUGGGUAAUCUGCCGUGCUUUGAAUAUGUCCUGUUCAAAAUGCAUGUAUUGGAAACAUAAUCCCCAAUGCACCAGUGUUGGGAGGAGGAGCCUUUUGAGAGAAGACACAGCAUUCAAGGUGCCUCUUGGAAGCAGAAACACAGGGCCAUUACCUGCCAGUGCCUUGAUCUUGGACUUUCCAGCCUCCAGAACUGUGAGAAAUAAAUUUUUUUUAAGUUACUCAGUUUUUGGUAUUCUGUUAUAGCAGCACAAUAUUUACUUUUGUAAACAUUUAGAAUAAAUAGAA